rnacentral:tRNA from 1 species
GUGGGUAUAGCUCAGUGGGAGAGCAUGUGAUUAGCAUGCACGAGGUCCUGAGUUCAAUCCCCAGUACCUCCA